rnacentral:rRNA from 1 species
AGUGAACGCUGGCAGUAGGCCUAACACAUGCAAGUCGAACGGCAGCACAGUAAGAGCUUGCUCUUACGGGUGGCGAGUGGCGGACGGGUGAGGAAUACAUCGGAAUCUACUUUUUCGUGGGGGAUAACGUAGGGAAACUUACGCUAAUACCGCAUACGACCUACGGGUGAAAGCAGGGGAUCUUCGGACCUUGCGCGAUUGAAUGAGCCGAUGUCGGAUUAGCUAGUUGGCGGGGUAAAGGCCCACCAAGGCGACGAUCCGUAGCUGGUCUGAGAGGAUGAUCAGCCACACUGGAACUGAGACACGGUCCAGACUCCUACGGGAGGCAGCAGUGGGGAAUAUUGGACAAUGGGCGCAAGCCUGAUCCAGCCAUACCGCGUGGGUGAAGAAGGCCUUCGGGUUGUAAAGCCCUUUUGUUGGGAAAGAAAAGCAGCAGGUUAAUACCCCGCUGUUCUGGCGGUACCCAAAGAAUAAGCACCGGCUAACUUCGUG